UGAAGCUCUGGGGACUCUGGUGGUGGACGCCAACUCCGAGUGAGUCAAACUUGGUUUCAAGUCCCAGCAUCACUGCUAACGAGCUGAAUGAAAUGAAAUCUGUGGAGCCUCAGUUUCUCUCCUCUGCAAAAUGGGGAUAAGAGCUCCCUCUUCAUCAGGUUAUGGUGAAAGAACUAUGGGAGGAUCAACACUACUUGAAGCCACCAGUUUCUGGGAAUAUGUCACAGCGGCCCAGGAAACGCAUGCAGAAGGUUUGGAAAUCUGUCUUUCUGAUGUCUGGGGAAGGAGACAAACCCCCAGGCCCUGUGAGUCCCUUCCUGGCACCUGCUCACGGGGUUGGGCAGACGGUCAGUGGGAAGAGAAGGGACCGUCCUGGAAGGUGAGAGGAGCUUCAGGCAGCAAAUUCCAGAAUUGGAGUUCUCCUCUGGGUUCAGUCUUGGGUUGCAGCUGACAGGCACUUCUGGGAAAGGCAAAUGACAGAAUUGCUGGUGUCAAGAGGUGAAAUAAUACAGUUCCA
rnacentral:lncRNA from 1 species